rnacentral:rRNA from 1 species
UUAAGCGACUAAGCGUACACGGUGGAUGCCCUGGCAGUCAGAGGCGAUGAAGGACGUGCUAAUCUGCGAUAAGCGUCGGUGAGGUGAUAUGAACCGUUAUAACCGGCGAUUUCCGAAUGGGGAAACCCAGUGUGUUUCGACACACUAUCAUUAACUGAAUCCAUAGGUUAAUGAGGCGAACCGGGGGAACUGAAACAUCUAAGUACCCCGAGGAAAAGAAAUCAACCGAGAUUCCCCCAGUAGCGGCGAGCGAACGGGGAGGAGCCCAGAGCCUGAAUCAGUGUGUGUGUUAGUGGAAGCGUCUGGAAAGGCGUGCGAUACAGGGUGACAGCCCCGUACACAAAAAUGCACAUAUUGUGAGCUCGAUGAGUAGGGCGGGACACGUGGUAUCCUGUCUGAAUAUGGGGGGACCAUCCUCCAAGGCUAAAUACUCCUGACUGACCGAUAGUGAACCAGUACCGUGAGGGAAAGGCGAAAAGAACCCCGGCGAGGGGAGUGAAAAAGAACCUGAAACCGUGUACGUACAAGCAGUGGGAGCCUCUUAAUGGGGUGACUGCGUACCUUUUGUAUAAUGGGUCAGCGACUUAUAUUCUGUAGCAAGGUUAACCGAAUAGGGGAGCCGAAGGGAAACCGAGUCUUAACUGGGCGUUAAGUUGCAGGGUAUAGACCCGAAACCCGGUGAUCUAGCCAUGGGCAGGUUGAAGGUUGGGUAACACUAACUGGAGGACCGAACCGACUAAUGUUGAAAAAUUAGCGGAUGACUUGUGGCUGGGGGUGAAAGGCCAAUCAAACCGGGAGAUAGCUGGUUCUCCCCGAAAGCUAUUUAGGUAGCGCCUCGUGAAUUCAUCUCCGGGGGUAGAGCACUGUUUCGGCAAGGGGGUCAUCCCGACUUACCAACCCGAUGCAAACUGCGAAUACCGGAGAAUGUUAUCACGGGAGACACACGGCGGGUGCUAACGUCCGUCGUGAAGAGGGAAACAACCCAGACCGCCAGCUAAGGUCCCAAAGUCAUGGUUAAGUGGGAAACGAUGUGGGAAGGCCCAGACAGCCAGGAUGUUGGCUUAGAAGCAGCCAUCAUUUAAAGAAAGCGUAAUAGCUCACUGGUCGAGUCGGCCUGCGCGGAAGAUGUAACGGGGCUAAACCAUGCACCGAAGCUGCGGCAGCGACACUAUGUGUUGUUGGGUAGGGGAGCGUUCUGUAAGCCUGUGAAGGUGGCCUGUGAGGGUUGCUGGAGGUAUCAGAAGUGCGAAUGCUGACAUAAGUAACGAUAAAGCGGGUGAAAAGCCCGCUCGCCGGAAGACCAAGGGUUCCUGUCCAACGUUAAUCGGGGCAGGGUGAGUCGACCCCUAAGGCGAGGCCGAAAGGCGUAGUCGAUGGGAAACAGGUUAAUAUUCCUGUACUUGGUGUUACUGCGAAGGGGGGACGGAGAAGGCUAUGUUGGCCGGGCGACGGUUGUCCCGGUUUAAGCGUGUAGGCUGGUUUUCCAGGCAAAUCCGGAAAACCAAGGCUGAGGCGUGAUGACGAGGCACUACGGUGCUGAAGCGACAAAUGCCCUGCUUCCAGGAAAAGCCUCUAAGCAUCAGGUAACAUCAAAUCGUACCCCAAACCGACACAGGUGGUCAGGUAGAGAAUACCAAGGCGCUUGAGAGAACUCGGGUGAAGGAACUAGGCAAAAUGGUGCCGUAACUUCGGGAGAAGGCACGCUGAUAUGUAGGUGAAGCGACUUGCUCGUGGAGCUGAAAUCAGUCGAAGAUACCAGCUGGCUGCAACUGUUUAUUAAAAACACAGCACUGUGCAAACACGAAAGUGGACGUAUACGGUGUGACGCCUGCCCGGUGCCGGAAGGUUAAUUGAUGGGGUUAGCGGUAACGCGAAGCUCUUGAUCGAAGCCCCGGUAAACGGCGGCCGUAACUAUAACGGUCCUAAGGUAGCGAAAUUCCUUGUCGGGUAAGUUCCGACCUGCACGAAUGGCGUAAUGAUGGCCAGGCUGUCUCCACCCGAGACUCAGUGAAAUUGAACUCGCUGUGAAGAUGCAGUGUACCCGCGGCAAGACGGAAAGACCCCGUGAACCUUUACUAUAGCUUGACACUGAACAUUGAGCCUUGAUGUGUAGGAUAGGUGGGAGGCUUUGAAGUGUGGACGCCAGUCUGCAUGGAGCCGACCUUGAAAUACCACCCUUUAAUGUUUGAUGUUCUAACGUUGGCCCGUAAUCCGGGUUGCGGACAGUGUCUGGUGGGUAGUUUGACUGGGGCGGUCUCCUCCUAAAGAGUAACGGAGGAGCACGAAGGUUGGCUAAUCCUGGUCGGACAUCAGGAGGUUAGUGCAAUGGCAUAAGCCAGCUUGACUGCGAGCGUGACGGCGCGAGCAGGUGCGAAAGCAGGUCAUAGUGAUCCGGUGGUUCUGAAUGGAAGGGCCAUCGCUCAACGGAUAAAAGGUACUCCGGGGAUAACAGGCUGAUACCGCCCAAGAGUUCAUAUCGACGGCGGUGUUUGGCACCUCGAUGUCGGCUCAUCACAUCCUGGGGCUGAAGUAGGUCCCAAGGGUAUGGCUGUUCGCCAUUUAAAGUGGUACGCGAGCUGGGUUUAGAACGUCGUGAGACAGUUCGGUCCCUAUCUGCCGUGG